GGUGGACUAGUGGUUAGAUCGUCUGUCUCGGAUACGGGAGGUCGUAGGUUCGAUCCUGGAUCGAGUCAUACCAAAGACU